rnacentral:rRNA from 1 species
GACGAACGCUGGCGGCGUGCUUAACACAUGCAAGUCGAACGGACAGGCCCUGCUUUUGUGCGGUUCUCGAGUGGCGAACGCGUGUGUAACACGCGAGUAACCUGCCCUUAUCUUUCUGAUAUCUCCAGGAAACUGCGGCUAAUACCGCAUAUGAGCUCUUGCUGCAUGGUGGGCGUUGGAAAGUUUCGGCGUUUGUGGCUGGACUCGCGGCUUAUCAGCUUGUUUGUGUGGUAGUGGCUUACCAAGGCUUUGACGGGUAGGCGGCCUGAGAGGGUUACCGGGCACCAGGCGACUAAGGGACGGAGCAGACGCCUACGGGACGCAACAGUGGAGAGUAUUACAGAGUGGGCGGGAGCGUGAUGCAGCGACCCCGCGUGCGGGAUGACGGCCUACGGGUUGUAAACAGAUGUGGCAUGUGACGAAGCGUGAGUGACGGUAAUGGGUAAAGAAGCCCCGGCUAACUACGUG